GAUGAAGAACGCAGCGAAAUGCGAUAAGUAGUGUGAAUUGCAGAAUUCAGUGAAUCAUCGAAUCUUUGAACGCACAUUGCGCCCCUUGGUAUUCCAUGGGGCAUGCCUGUUCGAGCGUCAUUUGUACCCUCAAGCUUUGCUUGGUGUUGGGUGUUUGUCCCGCGUUGCGCGUGGACUCGCCUUAAAGCGAUUGGCAGCCGACAUAUUGGCCUUGGAGCGCAGCACAUUUUGCGCUUCUAGUCAUGAAUGUUGGCGUCCAUUAAGCCUAUACAUUUGCUCUUGACCUCGGAUCAGGUAGGGAUACCCGCUGAACUUAAGCAUAUCAAUAAGCGGAGGA
rnacentral:misc_RNA from 1 species